UACGAAGGGGGCGAGCGUUGUUCGGAUUCAUUGGGCGUAAAGGGUGCGUAGGCGGCGCCGUAAGUCGGAUGUGAAAUCUUCGGGCUCAACCCGAAAACUGCAUUCGAUACUGCGGUGCUUGAGGACUCGAGAGGAUGGUGGAACUCUCGGUGUAGAGGUGAAAUUCGUAGAUAUCGAGAAGAACACCGGUGGCGAAGGCGGCCAUCUGGACGGUGACUGACGCUGAGACGCGAAAGCGUGGGGAGCAAACAGG
rnacentral:rRNA from 1 species